rnacentral:piRNA from 1 species
UGUAUCUGAUGUGCACUGUACCAGCCU